CCUACGGGAGGCAGCAGUGAGGAAUAUUGGUCAAUGGACGAGAGUCUGAACCAGCCAAUUCGCGUGAGGGAUGAAUGCCCUAUGGGUUGUAAACUUCUUUUAUAAAGGAAUAAAACGCGGCACGUGUGCCUUUUUUCAUGUACUUUAUGCAUAAGGAUCGGCUAACUCCGUGCCAGCAGCCGCGGUCAUACGGAGGAUCCGAGCGUUAUCCGGAUUUAUUGGGUUUAAAGGGAGCGUAGAUGGGGUGUUACGUCAGGUGUGAAAGUUUGUGGCGCAACCGUAAAAUUGCAAUUGAUACUGGGAGGCUGGAGUACAGUUGAGGUAGGCGGAAUUCGUGGUGUAGCGGUGAAAUGCGUAGAUAUCACGAAGAACCCCGAUUGCGAAGGCAGCUUACUAAGCGGUGACUGACAUUGAUGCGCGAAAGCGUGGGGAUCAAACAGGAUUAGAGACCCUAGUAGUC
rnacentral:rRNA from 1 species